rnacentral:rRNA from 1 species
UGCAAGUCAAGGGGGCCCAGCAAUGGGCAACCGGCGAACGGGUGCGUAACACGUGAGCAACCUACCGAAAUGUGGGGGAUAGCCGGCCUAACGGCCGAGUAAUACCGCAUACGCUCUCGAUGAGGCAUUUCAUUGAGAGGAAACCUACGGGACAUUUCGAGGGGCUCGCGGCCUAUCAGCUAGUUGGAGAGGUAACGGCUCACCAAGGCAACGACGGGUAGCUGGUCUGAGAGGAUGGCCAGCCACAUUGGGACUGAAAUACGGCCCAGACUCCUACCGGAGGCAGCAGUGGGGAAUCUUGCUCAAUGGCCUAACGGCUGACGCAGCGACGCCGCGUGUAGGAUGAAGCUCUUCGGAGUGUAAACUACUGUUGCCCGGGACGAAUAGCUCGAUUAAUCGAGCCUGACGGUACCGGGUGAGGAAGCACCGGCUAACUCCGUGCCAGCAGCCGCGGUAAUACGGGGGGUGCGAGCGUUGUCCGGAAUCACUGGGCGUAAAGGGCGCGUAUGUGGUUUGAUAAGGGUGUGGUGAAAGCCCGGAGCUCAACUCCGGGUCUGCCGUGCCGACUGUCAAACUCGAGGACUGUAGAGGCAGACGGAAUUCCGGGUGUAGCGGUGGAAUGCGUAGAGAUCCGGAGGAAGACCGGUGGCGAAGGCGGUCUGCUGGGCAGUUUCUGACACUGAGGCGCGACAGCGUGGGGAGCAAACAGGAUUAGAUACCCUGGUAGUCCACGCCGUAAACGAUGGGUACUAGGUGCCUGGGGGAGCGACCCUCUGGGUGCCGGCUCUAACGCAGGAAGUACCCCGCCUGGGGAGUACUACCGCAAGGUUGAAACUCAAAGGAAUUGACGGGGGCCCACACAAGCGGUGGAGCAUGUUGCUUAAUUCGAAGCAACUCGAAGAACCUUACCUGGGUUUGACAUG